UUUAGCAAUACAUUGCUGGCUGCUGCUGCUAAGUCGCUUCAGUUGUGUCCGACUCUUUGUGACCCCAUGGACUGUAGCCCACUAGGCUCCUCUGUCUCCGGGAUUCUCCAGGCAAGAACACCGGAGUGGGUUGCCAUUUCCUUCUCCAAACAUAUUGCUGGAGGAUUCUCCCAACAAGCCCGCACUUGGGCUCAGCAGAAGGGAGUCCACCCACCCUUGGCACCAGACGUAGACGAUCUGCUGGCAACCAACAGUCAGGUGCCAACUCCGGCCGUGGCUGAACAAAGCACCUCGGGGCAUGCAAUCUGACCUCAUGACGGCCCACCCCAGUUGACUGGCAGGUCCCACAGGAACUAACAUUCUUCAUGAAGCUUCAGAGUCAAAUGUUCGGGUCACAUUAAACUAGAAUUUCCAGCAAGCAAACUGUCCAGCAUUACUGAGGACCUGAGAAGCCGAGAGAGAAACUAACCACAUGGCACUUACAUUGUUUAUGAAAUGAAUCUAUUUUCCCUCUCCGUGGUAACCAAGUUCAAAACGCACAUGUAUUUUGCGACAAGAUCUUUCCCUUCAUUCUUUAGGAUGUUUUGGUAUUAAAAGCUCUAACAUCCGUCAAGGAUGCAAAACAGGGGCUUUCCCCAUGGUCCAGUGACUAAGAAUCUGCCUGCCAGUGCAGGAGACGCGGGUUUGAUCCCCGCUCAGGGAAGAUUCCACGUGCCGUGGAGCAACUAAGCCUGCACCCCACGACUACUGAAGCCCGCGUGCCUUAGACCCUGUGCUCUGCAACAAGAGAAGCCACCCCAGUGAGAAGGCCCUGCACCUCAACUAGACAGAAGUCACCACUGGCCACAACCAAAGCAAGUCACGGUGCAGCAACGAAGAUCCACACAGCCAAAUAAAUAAAUAUAUAUAUAUAAAUUUGAAAAAAAAAAAUUAAACAGCAACUCAAGUUUGGUCUUGCUGCUGCUGCUGCUAAAUCUCAUCUGAUUGUCCCAGACCCCAGCUCUCACCUCUGCUCAG
ensembl:lncRNA